rnacentral:misc_RNA from 1 species
GAUGAAGAACGUAGUAAAAUGCGAUAAGUAAUGUGAAUUGCAGAAUUCAGUGAAUCAUCGAAUCUUUGAACACACAUUGCGCCCGCCAGUAUUCUGGCGGGCAUGCCUGUUCGAGCGUCAUUUCAACCCUCAAGCACAGCUUGGUGUUGGGACUCGCGUUAAUUCGCGUUCCCCAAAUUGAUUGGCGGUCACGUCGAGCUUCCAUAGCGUAGUAGUAAAACCCUCGUUACUGGUAAUCGUCGCGGCCACGCCGUUAAACCCCAACUUCUGAAUGUUGACCUCGGAUCAGGUAGGAAUACCCGCUGAACUUAAGCAUAUCAAUAAGCGGAGGA